rnacentral:rRNA from 1 species
UAUGAACGCUGGCGGCGUGCCUAAUACAUGCAAGUCGAGCGAACAGACGAGGAGCUUGCUCCUCUGACGUUAGCGGCGGACGGGUGAGUAACACGUGGAUAACCUACCUAUAAGACUGGGAUAACUUCGGGAAACCGGAGCUAAUACCGGAUAAUAUAUUGAACCGCAUGGUUCAAUAGUGAAAGACGGUUUUGCUGUCACUUAUAGAUGGAUCCGCGCCGCAUUAGCUAGUUGGUAAGGUAACGGCUUACCAAGGCAACGAUGCGUAGCCGACCUGAGAGGGUGAUCGGACACACUGGAACUGAGACACGGUCCAGACUCCUACGGGAGGCAGCAGUAGGGAAUCUUCCGCAAUGGGCGAAAGCUUGACGGAGCAACGCCGCGUGAGUGAUGAAGGUCUUCGGAUCGUAAAACUCUGUUAUUAGGGAAGAACAAAUGUGUAAGUAACUAUGCACGUCUUGACGGUACCUAAUCAGAAAGCCACGGCUAACUACGUG